UACGUAGGAGGCAAGCGUUGUCCGGAAUUACUGGGCGUAAAGCGCGUGUAGGCGGAUGCCUAAGUCUGUGGUGAAAGCGCCUGGCUUAACCGGGCGAGGUCCAUGGAAACUAGGCGUCUGGAGGCCGGGUAGAGGGGGGUGGAAUUCCGGGUGUAGUGGUGAAAUGCGUAGAGAUGUGGAGGAAUACCGAUGGCGAAGGCAGCCCCCUGGGAUAACACUGACGCUCAUGCACGAAAGCGUGGGGAGCAAACAGG
rnacentral:rRNA from 1 species